rnacentral:rRNA from 2 species
UGGAUCCAGACUUUGAUCAUGGCUCAGGAUGAACGCUAGCUACAGGCUUAACACAUGCAAGUCGAGGGGAAACGACAUCGAAAGCUUGCUUUUGAUGGGCGUCGACCGGCGCACGGGUGAGUAACGCGUAUCCAACCUGCCCACCACUUGGAGAUAACCUUGCGAAAGUAAGACUAAUACCCAAUGAUAUCUCUAGAAGACAUCUGAAGGAGAUUAAAGAUUUAUCGGUGAUGGAUGGGGAUGCGUCUGAUUAGCUUGUUGGCGGGGUAACGGCCCACCAAGGCUACGAUCAGUAGGGGUUCUGAGAGGAAGGUCCCCCACAUUGGAACUGAGACACGGUCCAAACUCCUACGGGAGGCAGCAGUGAGGAAUAUUGGUCAAUGGGCGAGAGCCUGAACCAGCCAAGUAGCGUGCAGGAUGACGGCCCUAUGGGUUGUAAACUGCUUUUAUAAGGGAAUAAAGUGAGCCUCGUGAGGCUUUUUGCAUGUACCUUAUGAAUAAGGACCGGCUAAUUCCGUGCCAGCAGCCGCGGUAAUACGGAAGGUCCGGGCGUUAUCCGGAUUUAUUGGGUUUAAAGGGAGCGUAGGCCGGAGAUUAAGCGUGUUGUGAAAUGUAGAUGCUCAACAUCUGCACUGCAGCGCGAACUGUUUUCCUUGAGUACGCACAAAGUGGGCGGAAUUCGUGGUGUAGCGGUGAAAUGCUUAGAUAUCACGAAGAACUCCGAUUGCGAAGGCAGCUCACUGGAGCGCAACUGACGCUGAAGCUCGAAAGUGCGGGUAUCGAACAGGAUUAGAUACCCUGGUAGUCCGCACGGUAAACGAUGGAUGCCCGCUGUUGGUCUGAAUAGGCCAGCGGCCAAGCGAAAGCAUUAAGCAUCCCACCUGGGGAGUACGCCGGCAACGGUGCAACUCAAAUGAAUUGACGG